UACGAAGGGUGCAAGCGUUACUCGGAAUUACUGGGCGUAAAGCGUGCGUAGGUGGUGAGUUAAGUCUGUCGUGAAAGCCCCGGGCUCAACCUGGGAAUGGCGAUGGAUACUGGCUCGCUAGAGUGCGGUAGAGGAGAGUGGAAUUCCCGGUGUAGCAGUGAAAUGCGUAGAGAUCGGGGAGGAACAUCAGUGGCGAAGGCGACUACCUGGCCUGUUCUUGACGCUGAGGCGCGAAAGCUAGGGGAGCAAACGGG
rnacentral:rRNA from 1 species